UUGUGCUUGCUUGUCUUGCGCUCUCACUGCUCUGACGGAUGCUUUUAUUAGACCAAACCGCUGAGGACUUGAGGGUUCGCCCUCUAGUUCGACUCGUGCGAUGGUGACUCUGGAUAACCUUGACGAGCGCACGUACUCCUCUUCUGAGCGAGACGGCGCUGCCACUUUCGAGUGUCUGCCUUAUCAGCUAUCAACCGUUCGUUAUGCGCGACCGAUGGCUUUGACGGGUAACGGGGAAUCAGGGUUCGAUUCCGGAGAGGCAGCCUGAGAGACGGCUACCACGUCCAAGGACGGCAGCAGGCACGCAAAUUACCCAAUCCCAGCAAAUGGGGGAGGUAGUGACGAAAUCUAACGAUGCGGGCGCCCUUUCUGGGGCCCCGCAAUCGGAAUGGGCACUUUCUAAACAACCUGUUGAGAACCUACUGAAGGGCAAGUCUGGUGCCAGCAGCCGCGGUAAUUCCAGCUUCAGCAGCAUCUAUUAAAGUUGCUGCGGUUAAAAGGCUCGCAGUUGAAUGUCUGUAUCGAGCGCAGGUCAGGUGGACGUUGGGGCGUGGAAGUACGGGCAGUUGGAUGUUCGGAGGGCAUUCGUGCUCGAUGGCUCCUUCGGCUUUUCCACACACCCCCGUCCGUGACAAGCCUCCUCGCUCGGGUACAUAACGGGAAUCGGUCAAACGGAGUGUGGUCGGGAGUUGAGGUGCGUGGUUUCGGCUGCGUGCUCCUUCUUUCGGCUGCGUCAAGCUCCAUCGGUUUCACGGUCACCUUGAGUAAAUCAGAGUGCUCAAAGCAGUCGUAGGGGCCUUGCGCCCUGUGAACAGUCUUGACGGACUGACUUGGUUUUGCAUGGCAUGUCGGAAGACGACGUCGUGUGCUGGCUCAGAGGAUAAAUCAGUGGUACAAGCCAGCCUCGACGUAAUGAUUAAAAGGGACGGUCGAGGGCAUUGGUAUUGCGAGGCGAGAGGUGAAAUUCUGUGACCCCGCAAGACCUCCUGAAGCGAAAGCGUCUGCCAAGGACGUUUUCAUUAAUCAUGAACGAAAGUUAGAGGAUCGAAGGCGAUCAGAUACCGCCCUAGUUCUAACCCUAAACGAUGCCAACCAUCAAUCCGCGCGUAGCACCCUUCUUAACGGGCUCGGCGGGCAGCUCCCCACUCACGGGAAACCAGAGCCUCUGGGUUCCGGGGGGAGUCUGGUUGCAAAGCUGAAACUUAAAGGAAUUGACGGAAAGGCACCACCAGGCGUGGAGCCUGCGGCUUAAUUUGACUCAACACGGGCCAUCUCACCAGGCCAGCACUCUUGUACGAUUGACAGAUUGAGAGCUCUUUCUCGAUUCAGUGGAUGGUGGUGCAUGGCCGUUCUUAGUUGGUGGAGUGAUCUGUCUGGUUAAUUCCGAUAACGAACGAGACUCUCCCCUGCUAACUAGUCGGUUGGAUCUUGAUCAGCGGGUUGCGUGCCGAGUAACUCUCGCUGCGCGUGUGGUGCGUCGCUGGCUCUCGGGUUGGUUGCGUGUCCGCGCGUGUGGCGUUGGAUGCCUUGGAUCACACUGCACCCCAAGUCCGCCGCUUAUGCUAUAACUCUUCUUAGAGGGAUUCACGGCACUGAAGCCGUAAGAGACUGAGAGCAAUAACAGGUCUGUGAUGCCCUUAGAUGCUCUGGGCCGCACGCGCGCUACAAUGCCGGGCACAGCAGGUGUUUCUCCUGCUCCGACAGGAGCGGGUAACCCUCUGAAAGCCAGUGUUCUUGCAAGUGCUUCCUCCCUCGUGGAGUUGCACAGAGGCGUGCUUGGGCCUGGGACUUGCAAUUCUU
rnacentral:rRNA from 1 species